UUUACCAAGAUGGCGGCCGACCUUCACAGUGAACUUGGAAUGCUGACAGCGCUCCAGUGGGCGUUUUGUGAACUACGAGAGAUACGAGACAUGAUUUUAUUCUUUGUAGGUUAUGCUAUUUUAGCGGAAAAUAAUGGUUGUGUUUACUUAUAAUCAAUAAUUAUUAGUUUUCAAGUUACAUGAAUACUUUAGCUACAAAAGCCAUAGUUUCAAAAUAAAAUUAUUUUUCAAAAUCGAUUUGAGCUAGACUAUAUAGCUGUAUGAUAACAUAAAAUAAUGAUGAAGAGUGAUGUUAUUCUUUACUGUACCAGGUUCCAGAAAACAUGCAGUCUGUAAUCUACCCCCAUGUCAGUGUAGAGAGGCCUGUUCAUGAAGACACAACGUCCUUCGACGAUACCAAAACAUAUUACACAGUGUAUAUAGAUGGACGGAUAGAAAGCGUGAACAUCAAAAGCCAUCGUGUGUGUUACCCAGUUUCCAUUCUGCAUCUAACAAUAGGAACCAAGCAUCCAACAUCAUAACUUUAUUAUUAUAUUAGUCCAGGCAAUGAAUGCUCAAAAGAGGGUAUAGAGAAAAAAGUUCGGAAGACUAUAUUUGACCCCGCAAUUGUUUUGGGUAUUAAGGAGGUAAAAAUAUAAAAAAUCCUCACCCCUACCCCUUGUGCUAAGGGGGUGGGGUGGUUCAAAGGUACCAUUUUUUGGUUUCUCGCAUAUAACUCGAAAACUAUGUAUCUUACGGACAUAACUGUUAAAUACAAAGGUAAAGCUUAUAUAAUUUCCUACAAUAUUCAUCUCACAACUGUUCUUGUUUUCGAGAUAUCCGCUCUUAAAUGUGUGACAUUUUUGAAAAAAACACGUUCGCCUCCAAUUUUUCUCUAUUUCUACUCUUUUAAAAAUUGAUAGGAAAAAUCAACGCAGAUUAUGAUCUCAUAGAGCAAUAAAUUCUAUUCAAUUUUAUGUAUAAUUUAUCACUUUUACACACUUCCCUACAACUGUUGCAAUAGCUUUAGUGUUGAGUGAGAGGGGAUGAGGGUGGUUCGAAAGUUGAAUUUUUCAGCUUUUUGCUUCCGCGCUCAUAUCUUGAGAACAAUGCGUUCAACCGACAUAACUAACUAUUAAAAAAUUAAGUUUGAUAAAUUCUCUACACUUUUUGAUCAGUGGAAUUGUGAUAUUUCCAACAGUUCCCGAGAUAUUCGCUCUUGAAGGUGUGCAAUUGUCGAAAUAACAGGAUUUUAUGCAAUUUUUUGCUCUUUCAGGGCUUAUAACUCUCAAACAAUGCAUCGUAAAAAUCAAUGCUUAUCGUAGGUUUUUAGAGCAUUAAAUUCUCUUUAAAAUAGUGUAUUAUUUCACUAUUCAAAGUUUAUGUUUCAUUGUUUAUAGCAACUUUAAUGUAGGGGAUGAAAUUUCCAAUGCUGCAACAAUUGUUCAUUUGGCAAUGAAAUUUGAAGCGGGUGUCUGUGACGUUGCAGCUUAAUUUUGACUAGUUAGUAGAUUAACAUAGCAAAAUUGCACAUCUUUAUCCCCUCUGUUGAAGAUUUGGAACCACUGAGUUGACACUAGUUGCAAUAUUGAAAAUGUUGCUACAUUGCACUAUCAUUUUUGAUCAUUUGUUACAUCACACAACUAUUAUAUGAAUACUUUGUAUUGUUGUAACCAACUUGAAUCAAUAGACAAUUCCUUUUUUACUGCUUAUUCAAAUUUACUAUUUGUUAUUUUUGAUUUUCAUUAAACGUCCUUUUUCCUACUUAGUGCAGUCAUCAUAACUUUUAAGGCCAUUUGUAAAGUGCCACUUAUAAUAAAUGCAAUCAUUUGUUAUUGUUACAUUGUCUUACAAUUUCUUGGCGUCUACCUUGCUACCAGGUAUUUAGUAGUUAUACUCUUAUAAGUUUUAUGGUGAGUUUGGGUUAAGGUAUUGAUGAACAACAUCAGCCAUCUUUUAAAUUAUAUUUAUUAUUUAACAGACUUUCAUUCAACUUAGUAUACAGUCCACUUGAAGUCCCUCAUACCAAACACAUCAGAUACUUAGUUUUCGAGUUAUAUGUGAGAAACCAAAAAAUGUUACCUUUGAACCACCCCCACCCCCUUACUUAGCACAAGGGGUUGGGGGGGAAUUUUGAUAUGUUUACCCCCUUAUUACCCUAAACAGAACUGCGAGGUCAAAAAUAAUUUUUGUUUCCUAACCUUUCCUUGACUGCACUAUAUUAUAUCAUCUAGUUAAUUUUGAUAUCACAUUAAUUAAAAAGCUUCCCUCAUAGUAUAAUUUUUCAAUAUUUUACUAAUUGUAUAAUACACAAGAAAUCAAUAUAUUGCCGAGGUUGUCAAAGAUGUGAAUUUUCAAUGUUCUUUGAUGUAAAUAUUAUUGCAAAAAACUAAUAUCAUGGUUAGCUAUGCAUAAAGAGGCAUGGUAGCAUGAUGGUCAUUCUUUACUGAAUCGAAAUAAGCUGUUAUAAUUUUUUCUAUUAUUCAUUUGGUUUUCAAUAAACUAGUUAUGAUCUGAUGCCUCAUUACUAAAUGCAAAAUUCAUGUCGGUUAUGUAGCUUUUCUGCAAUAAACUAGAAUUACUCAAUAAUUAAGUUGUUUAAUUUGCUGUUAAAGUUAGGCCACAUUCACACCAGAGUUGUCUACUAACUGAGUUCUCAACAAAUUGAGGCAGUUUCUGGAAAUCCUUGUUUUAAACAAAAAGUUUAGUUUCCCAACCAAUAUGAGAAACACUGAAAAAGUUGUGAACAAAGUCUUCUACCUCUACAAGUCCUCGCAAACUAUACAAUCGCUAUUAGACCAAUUCUUUGGCAACAAGUUCUCUAUUUUGUUGCUCUACAAAAGAACAGUAACUUUAUGUAGAAAACUAUUUGUGGACAAAUUUUUUUGUUGACAACUUUGGUUUAAAUGCAGCAGCUUCAGCAUUUAUCCUUAUCCAUAAAAUUAUAUUGUUGUACUUGAGUAUACUCUUCAUUUUUAAUUACCCUAUGUCGCACCUGGCUAUUCCAUUGGCUGCGAGCGAAAUAGUAACAACUAUCAACAGUAUAUAGCUGGCUAGUAGAAUUCCACUAGCUUCAAAAGUUUGAACAUGUCAACAAUUCAUUCGGGCUACUGAGACAAAUGCGCAGGUACCAAAAAAUAAAUUUGUAAUGGAAUAAAAAAAGGUAGGUACGGUAAUGAAAAAUUGAGUGUCACUGUUUUGAUAGAAGCUAUAAAAGCAUUGUUUUAAUUGUCAGGUGUGACACAAGGCUUGCUAUAAUAAUUCUAAUCUGAAACAAAUAAUAGCUAUAAUACUUUGAAGUCAUUUUAAAAAAUAAGCAUUUUCGACAGAAUAGGCAAUGUCGUUAUUUUUAGUCACUUUGGGUAUGCCUAAGCCUGUAUUUCUAAUUUUAUUUUUUGCAAAAUCUCAAAUUUAUUUUUUCUUCAUUCAUAUGCAAUAUAUAAUCUUCAAUUCCAUAAUGAUAUAUUACAUUAAUUCCAAUAAGUUAACAUAUUAUUAUUAUAUUAAAUUGAUGGUUAGCUGUCACAGGAGAAUAGAAAGGCUAUUAUAUCUAUGAACUCAGUCAUAGCCACCUCUAAUACAUGUAUUAGAGGUGGCUAUGACUCAGUACGGUACCAUAACAAAUAAUAAUUAUUAGUCUAUUGAUGAAUAAAGAUUUUACAAAAUAAGAAUACCUAUGAAAGUUAAUGGUAGGCCAACUAUUACUUGAUUUCUAUAUUCAGGCAUUAAUAUCAAUUAUGAAAAUUCAUUAUUCGAAUCAUCAUUAAACUAUUUUUCUUGACGAAUAAAAUAUGAUUGAUUAUUUUAAACAAGUCACCAGGAUCUUGGAUUCAAAUAUGAAUUACAAUACAAUACCGUAUAUUAGGUAUUUUCAAUAAGAAAUUUAGAUCUCUCAACAUUCAUGGGAAGUUGAAGGACAGUGAUGGUUUUUCUUCUUGAGAUAUACCAUUGGACAUUCAAUAAAUAAAUAUAUCCAUCAACAAGCUCUCAGACAAAAUAACGUUUUUGUUGAACUAAAUAGAGUUUCUAAUUGAAGCUUCAAAAAUUGUAUUCAGUCUCAAGAAAGUUCUCAUUCUUCUACGUUAGGGCCAGAUUAUAUUCAAUUUAUUACAAGAACAAUAUUAAGCAUUUCUUUUACCAAUCCAAGAGUUUCCUGCUUCGCCGACUCCAAAAACGCUUAAUAUGGUCUGGCCCUUGUAGUGUUGAUAAAUAACCGGCAACAUUAGACUUGUUCAUACAGCCAAGCCAUCUACUCUAUAGUAGAUCUUCAGUACUCGUAUGCUACUAAUUUAUAAGCCUACGGUACGAAUUACUAACAAGAUUAUCAGAUAUGUUUACUAAAGUAAAAUCCUCUAUCCUUAAUGUUUUCAAUAAAAUUGCUUAUAUUCUUUGUUGACCGCCAACGCACAAAUCUCAUUACCGGUACGGGUAGUCUAUGAUAAUUCGAUGGAUUCAUCAAGUAGCCUGGACACAUUUAUGAUGUUGGUUAUUCUACUAAGAUUCAAAGC
rnacentral:lncRNA from 1 species